AAUGAGUGAUUACAAUAACAACUACGAUAAGAUUUUAUGAAAUAAUGCGUUUUACGUUGGAUUAUUUUACCUCAUUUUUUUAACCACCCAAGACCCGUGUACGCGUUGAUGUUAAUUUCAUUUGCCGAACGCAUCGAAAAUUCGAAAAAUUCUUUACACGCAAGCGCGCGCUCUGCAAUAAAAUUCGAAUGAUUUUGAAAAGCUAGCCUUCCGGGUAGUGCAGCCACAAUAGUCUGCAGUUCAAAUAUUAUUUACGCCGAUAGAAGUUCGCCUUGGAUGCCCAUUUCUGUCGGUGUAAAAUAUUACGUAAAAAAUUAAAAUAAAUAAAAAAAUCAUCUUUGCUUUUUGUUAGUUACAUACGUAAUCUUAUUCUGUAUGGUUUACUAUAAUAGGUACUCCUGUUUGUUAUUGAAAUUUAUUCAGUCCCCCGUUAUAAUACCGAUUACGAUCAAGAUUUUGAUUAUUUUUUCAACCGUCGAACUUACAACCGAUAUGCAAAUGGAAAAGAACAAAAUUAUUCGUCCAUCUAGAGUCAUUCGCUGGGGGAAAAAAGCACAAUUGUAAACGAAAGAGUUUAUGUGCAUAAAUUAAUUAAUAUACAUAACCGUAUAGUUAUGUCAGAAAUAAUUAGCGAUUAAGGAAUACGGUAUAUAAACAACAAUCGGUGAAAAAAUCGUUGAUAUUACCUAGAUUUCAGAUUUUACAAAUUUUUUUAUAGCCGUAUAGGGAAACCUUGACACAAUUUUAUGGUUAUCUAUUCAGAAAAGAAGAAUAGAUGAAAAAAAUGAUGGUAACGAUAUAGCUAAUAAUAUAAUCAUGAUAAGAAAGUUGACAGUGUAAUCGCCAUUUCGGGUACAAUAUAUUAUGUCAAAUGAAAUCGAAAUUUUGAAGGGAAAAAAAAAAAAACAACAAAAAACAGGUGCGAUCAGAUACGCGUUGAUUGUCUUGAGUAAUCGAGAUGUUAAUCCAUUGUAAAAACUGAUAAUCGAUAAAAUUGUUUUAUCUCGGACCCCCUGCGAGGAUGAUGACUCAAAGAAAAAAGGGAAAGAAAUUAUGACGUGCCCGUACACCUCGAUAUUUGUUAAAAAAAAAAUGGGGACGAAAUGGGGAUGCGGGUGAGAAAAGGCGAGAACAAUAUUUACCCAUUAUUGUUUAUCGCAAAGGAAUGAAAAAAAUAUUUGAAAUAAAGAAGAAAAUACUACAACCUCUUACAGCAUAGAUAUAAUGCAUCUGUAUAUGUAUGUGUGUAGUGAAGAUGUUGUGUCAAACGAUUGAUUUUAAUUACAAACAAUCCACGUGCGUAUUGGUUUGUUGAUAGAGUGAUAAGAACGUAAACACUUUGAUUAAAAAAAUUAUCAUUUUUACAACGAUUGUUUGUACCGGAAAAUGGGCGGGGUUUGUGAAAAAUUUACGAUGACGUUCGAAAUGAUAUCCAUGUGCAGAAUCGUAGAUGAAUAAAUUAAACUUGUCGCAUCGAGUGUGAGAAAAAAAAAAUAAAUAAAUGAGAAAGAAAACAGAACGAACCUACACACAUGAUUAGACGCUGUUACCUCGGGGCAGUGACGAUCUGGCCGAUCUGUUACUCCGAUUUAUCUGAUCCGCGGGAUCGGAUGGAAUAUUUAUCACAGACGGAAGGGGUUGGAAUGUGAAUUCCCUGGCUCUGUAGACUUCGACGAACGGCAGGUCGUACUGGGGGUAAUACCGUGUCACGUGUUAUCCUUUCGAGAGAGAGAAAGGGAAAGGAAGAUGGAAAAAAAAAGGGACAAAACUAGGGGAAUA
rnacentral:lncRNA from 1 species